AUGAUCCGGGCCACGGUCAGUAGUUUACCGCUGACUAGUGAGAGUGACUGGGAUUCCUGGGGGCUUAAUCAAAAUGGCAAAUUCUCGACUAAGUCAGUCUAUAAAUGGCUGGAGAGAUCUAUUAGUGGGUGCCACUGUAGAUGGAUCUGGAGAGCUAAAAUACCUCUCAAAAUCAAAAUCUUCCUUUGGCAAAUGUCGCAAGAUGUUGUGCUUACUCCACAGGUUAUGCGCAGAAGGAAAUGGCCUGGUAAUCCUUGUUGUUCCUUCUGCAAAGAGGUUGAGAGCUUGCGGCACCUAUUUUUCACCUGCCCUAUAGCGAAAUGCCUGUGGAGAUCUAUUGGGGUCGUGUUGGGAACUGAUAGAUGUCCCAAUAGCUACUAG
rnacentral:rRNA from 1 species